rnacentral:vault_RNA from 1 species
GAGCUGGCUUUAGCUCAGUAGUUCCUUUGAAUCACUUGCCAACCACUCCUGCUUGCAAGGGUGGUUUGAGAUCCGAGGGUGCCCUCCAGCUCUAUA